UUCCAUUUCAAAUCUGCUGUAUAAAUAAAGAAGCAUCUUAGCCUAAUAUUUCAUCAAAUAUCAGACACUUUCUCUCAUUUCUAGUUUUCUCUGCAGGCAAAUUAAGAAGGUUAAAAAUGGUGUUCUCGGCCAUACUAAGUUGCUUUGUUCCAUCUUCUUCCUCGACCCGAGUCUUCAAUGAUGCUGGUGGGUCUAGUUUGAAGGAACCUAAGAGCAAGUCAUCGAAAUCUUCAUCAAGAGCUCCGAUCCCGGUCUCUUACUUCCCUGUUAACUCCUACCUCUCUCGCUUGUAGUGAUUAAUUUGAUCGCAAGUUGGAGUUAGACUUUGAAGAGUACCAAUGGAUUAUUGAUUCAGUUUAUGUAUUAUAUGAUGGGGUUCCUCAUCAUGCAGUUGCUUGAGGAGUGAUGAUGGAGUUUGUUUUAAUGUACAGUUUGAUGAUUAAUUUGCAAUAAUUAGAUUCAAGAAUAUUGUUAAUUUCCUCCAACUGCAUGCAAUGAAACAACUCUUUUUAAUAUAAAGUUGGGUAUGAUGAUACCAUGAAAUUACCUGCAACCAAAUAAGACAUUAACCCCAACUGAACUUCCUUGUUGUUUCUCAAUUUGAUCAGUAAAGGAGGAAGUCUUAAAAAAGCCAAUGGAAAAUGACCCCACCAUUUUAGAGAAACACUAGGUGAAAUUUGAUCCACAGAAUCUUCUAUACAUAUUUUAAAGUUGUGAGUGUCUCUUAAACCUAUAAUGGACAAUAUCUAUGUGAGAGAUGACAAGUUAUUAUAAAUAAUAUUAGAGUUAAUUCUUUAUCCGUGAAAGUUUGUUUGACCUUGUAAAUGGUUUUUAUCUUUUUGUUAUCAUAAUUCUAUGCAUUACAAUGAGGACGUUGCGUCUUUCUGAAGGCCACGCUAUAUAUGUAUUGAUUUUUCUUCAUUUUAUAAGCAUUCUGAAGGCCACGCUAUAUAUGUAUUGAUUUUUCUUCAUUUUAUAAGCAUUUUUUAAAGUCAUGAGUGUUUAUGAGGCACAAAACGGAUCACUACAAAUAUUUAUAUAGAUUUGCAUUUAAAUCCAAUAAAAUAUUAAAGAAAAGACUAAAACGGAACUUCGGUAUUGUAACUACUUAUGACCUAGUAGUAAACCUGAUUUUAAUAUAUCAUAUUAGAUUAUUUAUUUUUUAAAUACAUAAAUUGUUAGGUAAUAGAUCAACGAUAUAUACUAGACCGUUAACAUUAUCUAUAUAUUUAUCUUUGAAUUGAGCAGCAACAGCGAUUGACAUGCUUGUUGGUGGGACCUAAUUCAACAAUGAAUUGUAUUAUCACAUAUUUUAAUACUUAAAGUUUCUAUAAUUAAUUAGUCUUUGAAAAUGAUACAUAUUUAUUGUAGAGGCUACAACAAAAGCCUCUACAAUUAUUUUUAAGAGAAAUUAUUUAAGGGAUUUUUUGUAAUAAGAACAUGAAAUAAUAAUUUAUUUUUUUUCAUAUGUUAUAUUCUAACAAAAAAAAGUCCUUUAUUUUUUCAAAAAAGCGUCUAUUUCAUAAAUUAAUAUUAGUGAUUUUCUAGAUUUUUAAAAAUUUACUAAGCACAAUAUUAAAAACUUUUGUAUUCUAGGGAAGUCAUGAGACUUGGUCAAGAUAUGGAAUAUGGGAUGACGUUAAGCCUGAGAAAGAAAAUAUAAUUUCCCGGAAUAAGUAAAAGUAGGAUGUCUAAGGAAGAAAGCAUGAGAAUCACAUUGGAUGAUUAGUUUUAUCCUAUCAUAUUUAUUUAAUCUUAUUCCAAAGGAGACUUUAACUAAUAUGUUUUAAUUUUCUUCAUUGUUUUGGUCCCACCCUCUAUUUGUUUGUUACCUAGACCUUCCCAUUUUUGCUAGAAGGUUUUCUUCUUCUGGGUCAGACUAAUCAAAAUUUCAAAAGUUUAGUUGUUGGGUCUUUUUCUAUAGUCAGAUCAAGGUAGCAGCAGCUGCCACGAUUGUCACAGGAAGCUCAAGGGAAUCAACCAUCUCAUAUAUUUAUCGUUUAGCUUUCCUUGAUAUGCAAGUAAACCAACCCUACUACCAUUUCAGAUCUGCAUUAUAAAUAGAGAAGCAUAUGUUAGCCUAAUAUUUCAUCAAAUAUCACACACUUCCUCUCUUUUCUAGUUUUCUCUGCAGGCAAAUCAAGAAGGGUUAAAAAUGGUGUUCUCAGCCAUACUAAGUUGCUUUGUUCCAUCAUCUUCCUCGUCCCGAGUCUACAAUGAUGCUGGUGGGUCUAGUGUGAAGGGCCCUAAGAGCAAGUCAUCGAAAUCUUCAUCAAGAGCUCCGAUUCCGGUCUCUUACUUCCCCGUUAACUCCUACAUCUCUCGCAUGUAGUGAUUAAUUAAUUUCACUGCAAGGUGGAGUUAGAAUUUGAAGAGUAUGAAUGGAUCAUUGAUUCAGUCUAGGUAUCAUAUGAUGGGGUUCUUCAUCAUGCAGUCGCUCAAGGAGUGAUGACGGAGUUGGUUUUCAUGUACAGUUUGAUGAUUGAUUUGCAAUAAGUUGAUCGAAGAAUACUGUAUUAGAUCUUCAUCUUGUUAAUUUCCUCCAACUGCAUGCAAUAAACAGUUCUUUUUAAUAGAAAGUUGGGUACGAUGAUACCAUGAAAUUACCUGCAACCAAAUAAGACAUCAGCCCCUACUAUGAAAAUUGAGAAACAACAAAAGAGUUCACUUGGGGUUUCCAUUGGAAAGAAUCGGUACUUGAAAUAUUGGCAAUCAGUGAUUACCAUAUGUAUAACUGCUAAGUAAACCCUAGAAUCAGUUAGGGUUUAUCAUCAUCGAAGACAAAGGUUGUUCGAAUCAUAUAUUAAGCAAAAACUACUUACAUUAUACAGAUGAUGAUCAGUAAGGGAAGAAGUCUUAAAAAAGCCAAAGGAAACUGAACCUACGAUUUUGGAGAAAUUAGGGUGUAAUUUGAUCCACAAGGUGAUGACUGAUGACUAGAUAUGCAUGGUGGGAUUUGCCCCAGCGGUCCAUGAUGAUAGAAGGCUAUUAUCCUUUUACACAAGCACUAAAAGAAAAAGGAUAAAUUAAGUCGCCUUGCUUUGUCCUUUCAUCCGCCCAAAAUUCUUGCAAUAUGCACCUCAAAUCAAACCUAAGAGUAUCAAUCACUCUCUUUCUCUCCAUCCAUUAAAAAGUAUUAAUUUCAAACUUGUGAUAUCUCACAUGUUGGAAGUAGAUUUGUAUAGGUUUUUUAAUUUUGUAGAUGUACUUUAAAGUUGUGAGUGUCUAUUAGACUCACAAGGAAUAAUAUCUAAAUGAGAAAUAGCAAGUCAUUACAAAUGAUAUUAAAGUUGAUCAUCGAUCUUAAUAUGAGAGUUUAUUUGACCCUGCAAGAGAUCUUUUUAUUUCUAUGAUCUUAUGAGAUACAACGAGAACGUUAUGCACUUAUAUGAGGGUGUAUUAUAUAUGUAAUGAUUCUUCUUCAUCUUAUAAAUAACUUUUAAAGUUGUGAGUGCGUAUGAGACCCAAAACGGAUCAGUACAAAUAUUUAUAUAAACUUAUAUUUAAAUCCAUUAAAAUAUUAUUUGUUAUAUUAAAAUAAAUUGUUGUUUUUUAAAUGAAUUGGAAAUAUUUUGAAGUGUUUGUUCAUAAAGAAUUUUGAUAAAUAAUUGAAGAUAUGAAGAUUAAUUGUAGGGGACUCGUGACACGUAUUCAACAUAUCAAAUAUAAUUACUGAAUAAACAGCCAAAAAAAUAAAUGUAAAAAAUAAAAAAAAUACCAGGGCACCAGCUGAGAGAUGUGGAAGGGUCUUUAUCGGCCAAGAAGAGGAUGAGAUUGGCCUUGUUCUUCGGCGCUUCUGAUCUGAACUUCUCCAGCACGCCGUCGAACGUCGACACAGUGGCGUCCACCAUUUUCAGCGGCGUAUUCGCUUUUUCUCAGGGGUAUUUUGGGAAAUCUAGACAAUAUCAUUGCUUGACAACAAUGGCAUUCGUCUGUGCUCCUUUUACAGGUUUUAAGCUAAAAUUUGCCCACCCACAGGUGGUGAAAUUCCUGAUAUGCCCUUCAUAUUGGAGUCACCAAAAUCUCCAUGACAUAGUAUAUCACAUUUAUGUCAAAUUUGGAGCCAAUGAUAUAUUUUGUGGUUUUAAAGUUCAUUAUAUACUUAGAAAGGCUUAGAAUACAAAUUUGAUAAGGUCAAACAAUGAUAUUUUUCUAAAAAUUUUUGUCCUACGAGGUGGGCACACAUACCUAGAAAAGCCUAAAUCCUUGACAUUAUGCAAUCUUACUUUACAAGAUGGUAGCAAAUAAUUAAUUAUUUUUCAAACACCGUAUCCCCUUAAAUAUUAUAGUUGGUUCAAUAAGUGGUAGAGUCAGGAUUUCAAUUAGGGGACUAACUCUUAAGACAUAUGUAAAUUUUGCUGAUCAUAAAAGAUGUGGGCUUUGACCCAAUAACCCAUCCUUGGCAUUUUCUAAGGGGGGGCAUAAGUUGGUUUGGGGUGGGAAGUGGAGAUGGCUGGUUUCACCCUUGGGUUCAGUCAUUGUAUUGAUUGAUCCAAUGAAGAAUAAUAUUUAGUAUUGACAUUUGCCUUCAUAAAUGAGCUUAAUAGUAUUAUCUUGGUGAGUGCAAUCCAAUAAUUAACUUGAUAUGUGUUUUUCAUAAAAUUUUAUGUAUCUUUUUAUAUUUGCCCUUUACUACCAAAUGUCAUUGUUCAUUUUGAAUUUUUUUCUUCUAUAAUGAAUAAAUACUUUUAAUUUAAUAUAAAAUUAUAAUUAAUCAUAUCAUUUUUUAGAACAUGUAGUAAUAGUAAAUAUGUGUUAACGUCUUUGAAUCCGGGACUCGCUUUCUAUGAUAAAAAGAAUAUACCAUUAACAUUAUGAAAUGAUUUUUGAAACUCCCACCAAUCAACAUUAAUUAGUUAGUCCUUUUUAGUUAGAGAGUUAAUUUUACUAAGACCCCUAGGGUGUAAAUACGUACACAUAACCAUUAUUAAUUUUAAAUUUUGUCACUAAGUGUCUUUGUAAAUUUAUUUUGUUUAUACAAUUUAUUUUUUAAAGAGAUUUUAAGGAAGUGUAAUUAAUAAUUUUUUGAAAAAUAAGUUUUAUUCUUAAAUUUUUUUUAUAUAUGAAAUACAUUUAUAGAAGUGCUAAUUGAUAGAAUUUGAAACUAAUGAUGGUUUAAUGUAUUUAUACUGAACCUUGGGAUGUGAAUGAAACUAGCCCUUAGCGAAAUAGGGUUGAGGAGUUAAACAUGCAUGGGUUGAUUGUAUUAAGGAUGAAAAGUACUAUUAAGUUCUUGGAGACCAAGCAAAACUUGGUUAAUACUCCUAGAAUCAUCAGGUGGUCGGACUAGAAGUCAAAAGUUUUGGAGGAAUUGAAAACGACUUCCUCAAACUACAGACACAAGUGUGGGAAACAGGAAGGAAUUAAUUAACCAUCUAAGCUGGGGAGAUGGGGACACAACAUUUGAAUUUCCUUGCUAUACAAGAAAAUUAGUCCAACUUCACAGUAUAACACAUCAUCAUCUUCAUUCAAAUGUCAUCACUACUCACACUUCAGCUAGCUAGCUCUUGGCUUCUCAAACACUCACUUCCCUUAACUUCUGAAUAGAAAAAUUAAGGAGAAUUAAGGGUGAUUCAACAAUGGUGCUCUCAGCCAUUCUAAGUUGUUGUCUGCCAUCAUCAUCGUCGACUCUGCCUCGGGUGUCCGAUGAUGGUGGUGGGUCAAGAUGUGACAUUAGGCAAUCUUACCUUGCAAGAUUGUGGUUAGAUUGUAGAAUAAGCUAGCUAAUUUACUAUUUAUCAAACACUUUUUUCCCUAUAAAUUGAACUUUUUAAGUUAACUUAAGCCCCAUCUAAAGUUAUUAUAGCUACUAAUUAGCAAUCACAUCUCCCUUUCUAAUGGGAUUCUUAUCAACCAUUUUCAGGUGUUUGAUGUCUUGUUUUUCAAGCAAUGAAGCAAGAAAAUCUCCAGAGAAGCCUAAGAGAAAAUCAAAGUCAUCUAGGGCUCCCAUUGUGGUCUCUUCCUUCCCUGUCAACUCAAAUCUUUCUUGCUUAUAGCAUGCUGAAAUUUGAAAUGUAGUUGGUUCAAUCAUGGUAUGGACUGAUCUAUAAUUAAUGGCAAUGAAGCCAUGGUAUUGAUAGUUGCCUUUGCAAAUGAGCUUAAUGUUCUUAUAUAUCUUGGUGAGUAUAAUUCUAACUAUUUGAUCUGUCUUUUGAAUAUGAUUUAUGGUAUUUUACCCUACUGCAUGCCUUUGCUUUGGUUACCUCCUUGUGUGAACUGCCCAAUGGUCAUAAAGAUUAAUGAGUUUAAGCCUUGUUACGUUUACCCAUGCACAAAUUUGUAAUGUCAUUCACUUUGAAUUAAUUUCUUGGUGUAGACGUAUGAAACAAAAACUCUUUAUAUGAUACAAAAUUAUAGCUCUUAUCAUUUUUAAGACACGAUGAUGGAGGACGACAUCAUUCACUGCUUGAAGACCAAGCAAAACUUGGGGAAUACUCCUAGAAUUAUCAGGCGCCACACAAGUCAAAAAGUUAUGAAGGAAUAUUGAAAAUGGCUUCCUCAAUCUAGAGUCAAAGCAGCCACUAGUGUAGGAAACAGGAAGGAAUUUACCAUCUAAACAAUAUCACAAGCUGGGAAGAUGGGCACAUACCAUCUGGCUUUCCUUGCUAUGCAAGAAAAUGAGCCCAACUUCCAUUUCAAAUUAAACUUCCACUAUAAAUAUGUAGAAUCGUCUUCAUUCAAAGCUCAUUAAUACAAACUCACACUUCAGCUCUUGGCCUCUCAAACCACUUUGUUUAAUUUCUGAAAGCAGAAGGAGAAGGGUGAUUGAUCAACAAUGGUGUUCUCAGCCAUCAUAAGUUGUUUUCUGCCAUCAUCAUCGUCAUCUCGGGUGUCUGAUGAUGCUGGUGGGUCAGGCUCAAAGGUGCCUUCCAUGGGGAAAGACAAGAUGAGCAAAUCAAAUUCUUCAGGAGCUCCAAUAGUUCUUUCUUACUUUCCAUUGAACUCCUAUCUCUCUCGCUUGUAGUUGUACUACUAAUUGCAUUCUGAGGAAAGGGGAGUUGAAUUUGCAGAAGGUAUCAAUGGUUAAUUUCUUCAGCUCAAUGAUGUUAUGUGGAUCAGUUAAUUAAUGGGGCUUCUUGAUCAGUCAGUUCAGAGACCACACACCAUGGGGCAGUUGCUUAUGGGGUGGUGAUGUUGAAGGAAGAACAGCACUCAUGUACAUAUAGUUUGAUGAUUGAUUUGUAGUUUGAUUGAAGCAUAUCAUGUAAGAUCAUGGGUCCUUUAUUUUUAUUAGUAAUAUCCUGAUGAAUAAAAUUCAAGUGUAAUCCAAUUGUUUGAUUUGUGUUUUGGUAAGAGUUCUUAUUUCAUGUUAAUCCAUAUCCAAAUUCUUGUGCUUAACUUAAUAUAUUCAACAUAUUUUCAAUUAUAUCUUCGAAUUCAAUAAAAAAGACGAAGAAGAAGAGGAAAAUCCCUCAAAUUUGAAAUAAAAUACAACUUUAUUUUCAAAAUAAAUUCUCAAAACUAUUUUUAGUCCAAAAUUUAUUCUACCUAUGCUUUAAUUUGAAUUUUUUUUUUAAUUUUUCAAAAAUAGAAAAUCAUUUUAAAAAUUAAUUAUAACUUACCAUAAAGAACUGAUCUUCAAAUUUGAUCUAAUAUCAUGAUCCCUUUUUUGGUAUGAUCUCAAGUAUCUUGUUCUUAUCAUAUAUAAAAAAAAUGUUCUUAAAUUAAUACAAAAUGAUGAUAUGUCAUGUCACUUGAGAUACUUUCGAAAUGAUAGAAUAGAUAGAUUAGAAUUAGAAACCAGGAUCAUAGAAAUAAAAAAUUUAUUAUUAUGAAAAUCAAAGUCAACUUUUACAAGAAUCUUAUCCUUUUCUUACACAAUAUAUUAUGAUAGAUCUUCAAUAUUUUCACUUUUAUUCUUGCAUUCCAAACACUUCUAGAGAAUUUGCAUUCCAAAAUCAAAGCCAACAUUAGAGAACUUGUCACCUAGAAAGUUAGGUCUUUUUUAAUUCUCACAUUGAAGAAGCAUGGACCAUGUUUUUGUAUUUUAAUUAAAAUUGUUUCCAAUAAUUUUAUAUAGAUAUUAUCAGUCAUUCUGCUAGCUGGUCAUUGCAACCUCACAGCACAUGCCCACAUACUAAUAAAUAUCAGAAACUUCUUCCUAGCUAGGUAAUGUGGGGCAUGGCAAAUAAUUGAUAAAAAAUGAGAAGUCUUCAAUUCUUGGUGACCAAGAAAAACUUAGGUUAAAGCAACCACAGGAGUAGGAAGCAGAAGGCAACCAUCUGAUCAACAGUACUAUAAGUUGAGAACAUAGGCACACGUAUCAUUUGGUUUUUCUUGCUAUACAAGAAAAUCAUCCCAAUCCCAUUAUAAAUACAGAAUUAUCUUCACUCAAAUCUCAUCAUCAACCUUCUAUUUCAUAAUUUUUCAGACAUAGGAAGAGCAAAAACGAAAGAAGAAAAAAGACACGUAAAUCAUAACGGUAUUCUUUAUUAAUCUCAUCUUACACAUACAAACAUAUAUAUAUAAAGAAAAAUAAAAUUUUAACGUAAUUGAUAAUUGAUAUGAUUCCUAUGCUCACGGAAUACAUCAACACUCAAGAAUCUACUUCAUUUGACACGUAUAAGCAUAAAUAAAAAAAAACAAAAUUUUAAUAUAAUUGAUAAUUAAUAUGAUUCCUAUGUCCAUGGAAUGUUCCGAUACUUUAAGUUUGAAAUAUUAGGCAGGUACCAUAGUGUGGGGUUAUCCUAUUGUAUUUGCAUGCACCUCAAGACCCAAUACCUUGUGGCAUGACUUAGGUUAGAUAGUACAUUAUUUGGGAUAUCCAUGGUACAACCUAAUUACUUUGAUUUGUAGGAAUCUACAUAUAAUCUCAAUUGAUUUCAAACAAUUAAUUUGAUUUAGAAAAUUGAUGAGUUUAAUUACCAGGCACAUAAACUAUUUCUUCCACAAACAUAAUUGUGUCAUACAUCUUAUGGAUAAAUUACACUAGUGACUAUAAGACCAUGAUUAAAAUUUUUAUCCAAACAAUUAUAAAAAUUAUGGUUGAUAUUUAAACAAUUUUUUUUAUUAAUAAAAAAACUAUCCUAAAUGAGAUUUAAAGAAGGUAACAUCACUGAUUUGAUUGCCUCCGCUAUUGCAUUGUUACCUUACUUUUGUACUCAUCUAAGUCAAUUGCCCAACCAAAAUAAUGAUUUACUAUUCUUAAUGACCACACGACAUUCAUUAGUAGAUAAUGCGUCACACCUUCUUUGAAGAUGGGCAGGCUAAGGAAUAUUCUUAAACCAUAAGUAAUUUAAUUAUAGAAUAUUCAUUUAUAGAAACUCAGUCACACCAGUUAGCUAGGCAACAAAUCAUACAUUCUCAUUUGACUAUAAAUGAAAGUUAUAAUAGCUUCUAAACAUAUAUAUAUAUAUAUAUAUAUAUAUAUAUAUAUAUAUAUAUAUAUAUAUAUAUAUAUAAACAUAGUAAAGAUAUAGUUAUAAGUGAUGUUUGUUUUUUGGUUAAAUAGAAAAAGCCAAAUAUUUUGGUUUUUUCUAUUCAGUUAAAAGUAACUAAUUGACAUCAACCAACAUCAUUAAACUAAACUUAUUGAGAAUAAGUUCACUUUAAUUAUGUUGGUUAGUACCAAUAAGAUACUUUUAGCUGAAUAGAAAAAAUCAAAAUAUUUAGCUUUUUCUAUUCAGCCAAAAAAUAAAUACCAUUAUAGUGUUUUAAAUUCUUUAGUAGAUAACGAGGUAGGAUUAAAAAUAAUUAUUUUUCCCAUUCAAUUGAUUUGUGUUUGACAACUUUUUCUAAAUAUUUUUUUAUAUUAAAAAUAAGUGUAAUUUUGGUUUUUGUUUUUAUAAAAUUUAAUUUAAGAAAUAUUUACUUUUGACAUCAUGUUAUUUUCAAAUGUAAAUUCGAUCUGGGGUUUGUCAGCUUUAUUCAAUAUGGUUAAAAAUUACAUCUAAUUUUUGUAUAUUUUUCAAAUUGAGACUUUUAGUUCAUAUGAUAGUGAUUUUAGAAAAUCCUUAUAUUUUUUUUAAUAUUUAAUAUUUUUUAUCUUUUAAAUGUUAAAAAACUAAAAACACUUUCUAUAAUAUUAUCAAACACACUCAUAUCCAAUAUGUUUUUUUUUUCCACAUAUUUGAUCCACACUUCCAAUAAUUAUGGUCAAAGACACUCAUCGCUGAUAUGGUUUUUUAUGUACUUAUUUCAUCCUUUGUGUAUAUUUUUCGAAGUAUUAAAAAUACUUUCUAUAAUCACCGUUAAAUACACAUAUCCUAUAUGUUUUUUUUUUUAAAUAUUUGGUCACACUUCCUAUGACCACGGUUUAAGAGCCUCGUAUCCUAUAUGUUUUUUUUUACAAAUUUGGUCCCACCCUGUCUGUAUGUUCCCCGAAGCUUCCCACUUUCUCUAAAAAGAUUUAUUCUUAAACUCAAGGGGAACCAUGUCAUAUAUGAUUUGGCUUUCCUUGCUCUGCAAGUAAAUCAAAUCCACCUCCAUUUCUUAUUUCAAAUCUGCACUAUAAAUAGGGAAGCAUCGAACCCUAAUGUUUCAUCAAGUAUCUCACACUUCCUCUCAUUUCUAGUUUUCUCUCAGGAGAAAGAAGGGUGAAAAAUGGUGGUCUCAGCCAUACUAGAUUGCGUUGUUCCAUCAUCUUCCUCAUCCCAGGUCGUCGACUAUGCUGGUGGCUGGCCUUCCAUGGAGAAACCUAAGAGCAAGUCAUCAAAAUCUUCAAGGCUCCAAUCCUGGUCUUUCACUUCCCUGUUAACUCCUACCACUCUCGCCUGUAGUGGUUGAGUUAAUUGCUUGAGGAGUGAGAUGGAGUUUUGUUUUCAUUUACAGUUUGAUGAGUGAUUUGCAAUAACUUCAUACAAGAAUAUUGUAUGCAAUGAAAGAGCUAUUUUUGAUUGAAUGUUGGGUAUGUUUGAUGCCAUGAAAUUAAUUACCAGCAACCAAACAAGACAUGGAACCCUAGUUUGAAAAUUCAGAAACUAACAACAAAAGUUCAGUUGGGUAAUGAAUAGCAGUCAGUGAUGGCAUAUGGGUAAUAGUUAAUUAGAGUCACUAUUAAUUCAGGGUUUAGAGUUUAAAGUUUAUACUUAGUUGUUGGACACACAUAAAGAUCUAUAAAGAAUUCUUAAAAAAUCAUUUAAAAAUAAAUAAAACAAUAAGUUAUUUUAAUAUAAGAAAAAUUUUAAAAUGAUUAAUUUUUUUUAUAAUCAUUUUAAAAUUUAAAUAUUUUUAAUUUAUUUUUAAGCUUUUAAAAUGAGAAAAUAUCAAUUCUCGGAAAUUUUAAAACACUACAAAUAAUGUAAAUUGUUGGUGAUCGGAGAGCAAACUCCAACAUUAAAGACCUUUUCUCACUGAAGAUACUCUCUUUCCACACAAUGGUUGUUUUUUUUAACAGACUUGCCUAUUAAAAAAGGGUCAAACACCAUGUUGACAAAGGGGAGACUAAUGAUCUAAAAACUAAAAACAUUUUGUGCUGAAAAGCCCAGGAGAGGACUAAGCCAAAAAUUAAAUAUUUGGAAAGGGGAAAAUUUUAGGGGAUAUGUUGGAUAUCAAAUUUGUAAUCUUGGUAGUCAUUUGAAAUAUAUAAUGAAAUAUAAGUUGUUUGAUAUUUAUAGUUAUUUUCAUGAAUAAUGAUGGUCAUGAGGUCUUUUUGCGACGUCUAGGAAGCAAGCACGUGGAGUUAAAUAAGCAAAGUUGCAUGAGGCUUGGGGGUGCAAGCCUAUUUCGAUCAAUCCAAAGUUUGAGGCUGAUCGAGGGAAUUAGAGAUAUUCAAAUGAGUUCAAAUAUAUACAUAUUUUUAAAUUAUGUACUCAUUGAGGAUUAAUUUCAUACAUUUUCAAAAGAUUUGGAUGCCGUUUUCCUAGUUGAAAAUUUUGAAAUUUUUUUAAUGGAAAAUAAGAAAAAUGUUGAAAGAGCUUAUGUAACAUUUUUCCAAAAUACUACACUAGGAGGACACCACCUUAUAACUUGAUGUCAUUUUCCCAUUCCCUGGUGUCAUUUUGUGCUGAAGAUGAGCUAUGUACACCCCAAAAAAUGGCAAGGUCACUUUAUGCUCUACUACCAUUCCUCACUCCCUGCCACCAUUUCAUGCUAAAACUCCAAGACAAUAUGAGCCCACCAUUUUUGGACCUUUCGAGUUCACCAUUGGAUCUCUUAUAUUGUUUUUGAUACGUUAACGAGGUACUUAUGACACAUGGGAACACCUAUAUAAAGCCAUUUUGCAGUUAAUGAAGGGGGCGCCUUUGAGGAGAGCCUUUGGGCUACUAGCUUGGGGAGGAGACCAGCUUGUUCCAGCUUGCAUGCUUUAUUUGCUCGACGCUUUGCUCAUUUUAGUAAUUUGGUAAAGUUUUGAACUCACUGCUCUUGAUUAUACUUGAUUGUAACUACCAUUAAUAUUUGGUUUUGAAGUUGAAUUUGAAUGAUUGUAAUAGGUACUUUCUUAUGCUCUGAUUUUGUUCUUCACUUUGGUUAUAUUUUUGUGGCUUUUGAGUAGUAGUUUAGGUUGAGGAGAAGGGGGUUCUUAGGACCUCCAUUGUGUUUAUGAAAUGGACUCUUAAAUUCUAAGUGUUUGAUGAUACAGUCAGCAUGUGAGCUUUGUUUUUAAUUAGAAUAUCAAUAUUCCUUAAUAUUUGAAAAUUGAAGUUUGGGGGACCCUUAAGGGUAUCUUAAGUACUUAAUGGUUGAAAGUCAUUUUGACUUGAAAUGACUGUUAUUGAACCUCUAAUUAUUUGAUAACAAAUGGUAGUGGAAGCUUCAAUGUGAUAUCAUAUGGAGUUUCAAUUCACAAGUAUGAGACAUUGGGUUUGAUUAAAAUGUGCUUGUGUUGCAAAUCCUCUAACUAAGAAUACCUAUUGGUGACCUUAAUUGUGUCAAUUUCAUUAAGGGCUAUUUCAUGAAAACAAAGGAGUUCCAAGAGAUCUCCUAAUCCUUGACACUUUUUUAGCCUCCUGUUAAUAAUCUUUCCAAUUCCAUUGCACACCUAACAUCUUUUUCCUUUGGUUUGACUCUCUGACUCAUGGAGAUAUUAAAAUGGCAAUGUACUCCUUAUUGUUACAUACGCAUUACGAAGGAUGAAAAGUAUCCAAUUCUUGAAGACCAGGCAAAACUUGGUGAAUACUCCUAGAAGUAUCAGGUGGGUAACAUUAGAAGUCAAAAAGUUGUGAGAAACGGAAUUGAAAAUGACUUCCUCAAACUACGGUCAAAGCAGCCACAGGUACGUAGGAAACAGGAAGGAAUUUACCAUCUAAACAAAAUCACAAGCUGGGAAGAGGGGCAUGUACCAUCUGGCUUUCCUUGCUAUGCAAGCAAAUUAGCCCAACUUCCAUUAACUCCACUAUAAAUAAAGAACCAUCUUCAUUCAAAUCUCAUCACUACUUACACUUCAGGUAGCUCUUGGCCUCUCAAACCACUCACUUUCCUUGACUUCUGAUCAAAAGAAAAUAGGGAGAAUCAAGGGUGAUUCAACAAUGGUGUUCUCAGGCAUUUUAAGUUGUUUUCUGCUAUCAUCAUCAUCUUCAUCGCCUCGGGCGUCCGAUGAUGCUGGUGUGUUAAGCCCAAAGAAGCCUUCCACGGUGAAAGACAAGAGCAAAUCAAAAUCUUCGGGAGCUCCAAUUGUGGUGUCUUACUUCCCAGUGAACUCCAAUCUCUCUCGCUUGUAGUAGUACUAACUGAAUUGUAAGGAAAGAGGAGUUGAAUUCAAGAAGGGUACCAAUGGUGUUUAUUAAGUUCAAUGGUGUUAUGUGGAUCAGUUAAUGGGGUUUCUUGAUCAGCCAGUUGAGAAACCAGACCCUGGCGCAGUUGGUCAGGGAAGAAUAACACUGAAAAUAGUAAUAUCAGUUGUAUAUAUAGUUUGAUGAUUGGUUUUUAAUUUGAUUAAAGCAUGCAUAUGGUAUAAGAUCAUGGUUUCUUGAUUUGUUUUUUCUUAAGAUUUCUCCUAUAUCUUGUUCUCAGAUCCCUUUACCUUGUUUACCUCCUUUUCUGAAGUUCAGAUUUUCUUCAUCCAACACACUGAUAAGUGGCUCUGAGCCUGCCUAAUGACCUUGAAGAUCAAUGGGUUCUUCAUUUACUUUUCUUUUCGUCUAUGAGCAAUGAACUAGAGAUCAGUGAAUGAAAGAAAAAAAGGAAAUCUCAUAGAAAGUAUGCAACAUUGCUGAAGAAAAGAAGAUGAAGCUGUGAAUAUAUACGUAUAUUGAUCAGUUGAUGACAAUUCGAUCUAUUGAAGAUUUAAUUUAAACCUUACCAGAGCGAUCAAUUGAACUGCUAUUAACUAUUUGCUUGAGAAAAAACAAGGGCAUGUUUCCCAAUGUGGAUCCUAUCAGUUAGGUUACCUGGCCAUUUCAUGCUAAUAAAUAUCAGUAACAAAAUGUGAGGCAUUACAGAGAAUUGCUAAAGAUUAGUGAAAAGUCUUCAAUUCUUGGUGAGUAAGAAAAACUUAGAUUAAUGUUGCUAGAAGUAUUGGAGGUCAUAGAAGUAAGUCAAAGUUCUCAAGGAACUCAUGAGGAUGAAUUCCUCCGAGUAGGGUCAAAGCAGCCACAAGGGUAGGAAGCAGGAGGCCAGGAACCAUCCGAGCAAUACUAUAAUUUUCUCGGACUUGGGCAUAUAUCAUUUGGCUUUUCUUGUUAUGUAUACAAGAAAAUUAACCACCCCAAUCCCACUAUAAACACAGAAUCAUCUUCACUCAAAUUUCAUCAUCAACCUUCUGGAUCAUAAUUUUCUCGGACAAGGAAGAGCAGAAGCCAAGCCAAUUACAAUGGUGUUUUCAACCAUCUUGAGUUGUUUCUCGCUUAGUGAACUGGUGAAAUCUAACAGCAAAUCAUCAAAACCUUCACAAGCUCCAAUACUGGUUUCUUACUUCCCUGUCAGCCUUCAUCUCUAGCUUGUAGUACUUUAAUUACGAAGGAGAGAUCAUCUGCUGAAUCAUAAUGGCAGAAACGGUUUAUUCAUCUGGUAUAUUGAUCAACUCAUGGGGUUUUUUGAUGUAUAAAUUCAUUAAUUCACGAUUGAUUUGUAAAUUAAUUUGAUUGAAGCACACAUAUUAUAUAAGAUUAUUGUUUCUUGAUGAUAAUUAAGCUAAUCAUCAUAUAUACCUUUCCUUACUAUAGAAAAACCAGAUAUUAGGGCUUGUUUGGAAACAAUUCUGAAAAAUAUUUUUUGAGAACAAGUUUUAAAAAUUGUUUUAGGAUAUUUUGUAGAAAAAAAUUUAUUUUAAAACUUGAAAUGUUUUUAAUAUUUUUAAAAUAAAUUUUAUAAUUAUUUUUUAAAAUAGCUUUAAAAAAUAUAAGUGAAAACAACUAAAAAAUGUUUUAUGGAAAUAUUAUGUUUUCUAAUUGUCAAACGUGUUUUCUAGUUUUUUGUUUCUGAAAAACGAAAAUUGUUCUCCAAAACAAUUGCUAAACAAGCUUUAGGUGGUAUUUGUUUUUUUACUUAAUUCUAAAUAGAAUAUUAAUACUUAUUAGUAUUAAAUAUUAGGUUGUUUGUUUUUAUAGUAUUUUAUUUCUAUUAAGUAUUAAAAAAUAAAAAAACACCAUUGUGUUAUUUUUUCUAUUUAGAAAAAGCCACAUAUUUUGACUUUUUCUAUUUAGUAAAAAGUUUAUAAUAAGUCAUGAAAAAGUAAAAAAACAAACAACCUAAAUUUUAAAACUAAAUGAUUUUAAGCAAAAAAUCAAAAAAACAAACACCGCCUUAGUCUACUUCAAUCCUCAUUUGUAAUUAUCUUGAUUAAUAAUAUUGUGGUACCUUUGGCUAUUACCAGUUGGGACGCUUGACCCAAUAUUUGAUAGUAGAGUUCUAAUUAAUAUAUAAUUAAAAUUUUCUAAUUAUGUUUAAUUUAAUGAUGGGAUAUUAUUGAACAACAUCAUAAAAAAAUUUAAUAUUAACUAGAUUUAUCAAUUAAAAUAUUAAUAGCAUUAUCAUUUUUAUAUAUUAUUCUUCUAUGUCAUAUACCUUGAUGCCGUGAUGAAUACUUCUAUUAUUACGGAACUUGAUAAAGUCGAAAAAUAUUGUUAUAUACCGAGAGUGACUUUCUUCCUCCAUGGUCAAAGCUGGCACAUGCCAUAGAAAGUGGAAGCUCAAGAGCAACAUGGGUACUUAUAUCAUUUGACUAAGAUAAAAUUAAUUGAGAUAAAUAUUAAUAAAAUUAAAAAAGCAGGUAAAUAUGUCAAUUUGAUAAUUAAAAAAUAAAUUAAUUUUAUCGAAUAAUAAAAAUCAAAUAAUAAAUUUUAAGUUUAUAAUUUAAGAAUAAUUUAAUUUAAAAUUAAUUAAAUUAUUAAAUAUAAGUAUUAAAUUUGACCAAAAUAUCAUUUUCACCUCGCCUUGAUGAAGCCAUUAAGUAUUUAACAUUAGCCAUUGAUUUCUUUUUGGAUCAUUUUGAAACCCAAUGAUGUUGGAGGGAUGUUGAUGAUUUAUUGUUUGGUAUAUUUUAAGGUUUAAAGGAUAAAUAGUAGUACUGAAUACUUCCUACUAUCCUGACCAGUUCUUAAAGUCCAAAUGAAUUGAAAAUCUUGUGACACUGAAAGUGACUUUCUUCCGAAAUGGUCAGAGCAGCCACAACUGAUGGAAAUUCAAAGGAUCCAACUCACAAUUUUCACAAGAAACAUGGUCAGUUGGACUUCAAAUUGCUUUAUAUUCAAGAUAUUAAGAGCUCGAUAGGUUUGCAUCGCAGAAACAAACAAGUGAUUUUAGCACCGAGUAAUACUUGACUUCAUUAGAAGAGUAGGCAUGCAACGGUCCAUUGCUUUUUAGAGCAUCAAUACAUUGUCGGAUUGCCCUCACGUAGGAUGUCUUAUUUUUCCAAAAUAUAAAUAAAUCCCAUUAAUUAGGAAGAAAGCUUGAGAAUCACGUCUAAAGGAGACUUAGUUAAUAUAUAUGUUUUUCUUCAUUGGUUUGGUCCCACCCUCUAUUUGUUUGUUCCCUGAAGCUGGUUAGACUAGUCAAAAUUUGAAAGGUGGUGUAAUUUGACAUGACUGUACUUCAAAGACAUGGACGCCACCGCACCAAAGUUUAGUUGUUGGGUCUUUUUGUAUAGUCGGAUUAAUCCACUUGCUGCCACGAUUCUCACAGGAAGGUCCAGGGAAUUGACCAUCUCAUAUAUUUAUCAUUUAUCUUUCCUUGCUAUGCAAGUAAAUCAACCCUACUUCCAUUUCAAAUCUGCUGUAUAAAUAGAGAAGCAUCUUAGCCUAAUAUUUCAUCAAAUAUCAGACACUUUCUCUGCAGGCAAAUUAAGAAGGGUUAAAAAUGGUGUUCUCAGCCAUAUUAAGUUGUUUUGUUCCAUCUUCUUCCUCGACCCGAGUCUUCAAUGAUGCUGGUGGGUCUAGUGUGAAGGAACCUAAGAGCAAGUCAUCGAAAUCUUCAUCAAGAGCUCCGAUCCCGGUCUCUUACUUCCCUGUUAACUCCUACCUCUCUCGCUUGUAGUGAUUAAUUUCAUGGCAAGGUGGAGUUAGAAUUUGAAGAAUAUCAAUCGAUUAUUCAUUCAGUCUAGGUAUGAUAUGAUGGGGUUCCUCAUCAUGCAGUUGCUUGAGGAGUGAUGAUGGAGUUUGUUUUAAUGUACAGUUUGAUGAUUAAUUUGCAAUAAUUAAUUUCAAGAAUAUUGUUGAUUUCCUCCAAUUGCAUGCAAUGAAACAGCUCUUUUUAAUGUAAGUCGGGUGCGAUGAUACCAUGAAAUUACCUGCAACCAAAUAAGACAUUAACCCCAACUGAAUUUUCUUGUUGUUUCUGAAUUUGAUCAGUAAAGGAGGAAGUCUUAAAAAAGCCUAUGGAAAAUGACCCCACCAUUUUGGAGAAACACUAGGUGAAAUUUGAUCCACAGAAUGAAGAUCAGGUAUUCAUGGUGGGAUUUGCCUUAUGGUCCAUGACGAUAAAAGCUUAUUAUUCUUCUAUGCAUGCACCAAAGAAAAAGGGAAAAUUAAGCCGCCUUACUUUGCCUUUUUAUUCUCCUAAAAAGUCUGCAAUAUGCGCCUCAAAUCCAACCUAAGUGUCUCUGACACCCUCUUUCUGUCCAUCCAUUAAAAGGUACUAACUUUAAAAUUGUGAUAUCUCACAUAUUAUAGAAAAAAAGUUUGAUUUUAAUCUUGUAUAUAUAUUUUAAAGUUGUGAGUAUCUCUCGAACUUUAAUGAACAAUAUCUACGCAAGAGAUGACAAAUUAUUAUAAAUUAUAUUAGAGUUAAUUUCCUAUCCAAUGAAAGUUUAUUUGACCUUGUAAAUGAUUUUUAUCUUUUUGUUAUCACAAUUCUAUGCAUUAUAAUGAGGACGUUGCGUCCAUUUGAAGGUACGCUAUAUAUGUAUUGAUUCUUCUUCAUUUUAUAAGCAUUUUUUAAAGUCAUGAGUGUUUAUGAGGCACAAAAUGGAUCACUACAAAUAAUAAAAUAUUAAAGAAAAGACAAAAAGGGAACUUCGAACAACUUAUGAAGAUCAACAAUAUAUACUAGACCGUUAACAUUAUCUAUUUAUCUUUGAAUCGAGCAAGCAACAGUGAUUGACAUGCUUGUUGGUGGGACCUAAUUCAACAAUGAAUUGUUUUUUUUGAUAGGAAACAAUGAAUUGUAUUACCACAUAUUUUAAUACUUAAAGUUUCUAUAAUUAAUUAGUCUUUGAAAAUGAUACAUAUUUAUUGUAGAGGCUACAACAAAAGCCUCUGCAAUUAUUUUUAAGAGAAAUUAUUUAAGGGAUUUUUUGUAAUAAGAACAUGAAAUAAUAAUUUAUUUUAUUUUUCAAAAAAGCGUCUAUUUCAUAAAUUAAUUUUAGUGAUUUUCUAGAUUUUUAAAAAUUUACUGAGCACAAUAUUAAAAACUUUUGUAUUCUAGGGAAGUCAUGAGACUUGGUCAAGAUAUGGAAUAUGGGAUGACGUUAAGCCUGAGAAAGAAAAUAUAAUUUCCCGGAAAGUAAAAGUAGGAUGUCUAAGGAAGAAAGCAUGAGAAUCACAUUGGAUGAUUAGUUUUAUUUAAUCUUAUUCCAAAGGAGACUUUAGCUAAUAUGUUUUAAUUUUCUUCAUUGUUUUGGUCCCACCCUCUAUUUGUUUGUUGCCUAGAGCUUCCCAUUUUUGCUGAAAGGUUUUCUUCUUCUGUGUCAGACUAAUCAAAAUUUCAAAGGUGGUGUAAUUUGACACGACUUUCUUCAAAGAUUCGGGCCCUAGUGUACAAAAGCUUAGUUGUCGGGUCUUUUUCUAUAGUCAAAUGACUCAGAUCAAGGUAGCAGCAGCUGCCACGAUUGUCACAGGAAGCUCAAGGGAAUCAACCAUCUGAGAUAUUUAUAGUUUAGCUUUCCUUGAUAUGCAAGUAAACCAACCCUACUUCCAUUUCAGAUCUGCAUUAUAAAUAGAGAAGCAUAUGUUAGCCUAAUAUUUCAUCAAAUAUCACACACUUUCUCUCUUUUCUAGUUUUCUGAUCAGGCAAAUUAAGAAGGGUUAAAAAUGGUGUUCUCAGCCAUACUAAGUUGCUUUGUUCCAUCAUCUUCCUCGUCCCGAGUCUACAAUGAUGCUGGUGGGUCUAGUGUGAAGGGACCUAAGAGCAAGUCAUCGAAAUCUUCAUCAAGAGCUCCGAUUCCGGUCUCUUACUUCCCUGUUAACUCCUACCUCUCUCGCAUGUAGUGAUUAAUUUCAUUGCAAGGUGGAGUUAGAAUUUGAAGAGUAUGAAUGGAUCAUUGAUUCAGUCUAGGUAUCAUAUGAUGGGGUUCUUCAUCAUGCAGUCGCUCAAGGAGUGAUGACGGAGUUGGUUUUCAUGUACAGUUUGAUUGAAGAAUAUUGUAUUAGAUCUUCAUCUUGUUAAUUUCCUCCAACUGCAUGCAAUAAACAGUUCUUUUUAAUAGAAAGUUGGGUACGAUGAUACCAUGAAAUUACCUGCAACCAAAUAAGACAUCAGCCCCUACUAUGAAAAUUAAGAAACACACAAAAAAGUUCAGUUGGGGUUUCCAUUGGAAAGAAUCGGUACUUGAAAUAUUGGCAAUCAGUGAUUACCAUAUGUAUAACUGCUAAGUAAACCCUAGAAUCAGUUAGGGUUUACCAUCAUCGAAGACAAAGGUUGUUCGUAUCAUAUAUUAAGCAAAAACUACUUACAUCAUACAGAAGAUAAUCAGUAAGGGAAGAAGUCUUAAAAAAAGAAAAGGAAACUGAACCUACGAUUUUGGAGAAAUUAGGGUGUAAUUUGAUCCACAAGGUGAUGACUGAUGAGUAGAUAUGCAUGGUGGGAUUUGCCCCAGCGGUCCAUGAUGAUAGAAGGCUAUUAUCCUUUUACACAAGCACUAAAAGAAAAAGGAAAAAUUAAGCCGCCAUGCUUUGUCUUUUCAUCCGCCCAAAAGUCUUGCAAUAUGCACCUCAAAUCAAACCUAAGAGUAUCAAUCACUCUCUUUCUCUCCAUCCAUUAAAAAGUAUUAAUUUCAAACUUGUGAUAUCUCACAUUGUAGGAAAUAAUAGCCUAAUAUUAUAUAUGUAUAGGUUUUUUAAUUUUGUACAUGUACUUUAAAGUUGUGAAUAUUGUUGAACUUAAAAUGGAUAAUAUCUACAUGAAAAAGAGUAAGUCAUUACAAAUGAUAUUAAAAUUGAUCAUCAAUCUUAAUGUGAGAGUUUAUUUGACCCUGCAAUGAAUCUUUUUAUUUCUAUGAUCCUAUGAGAUACCACAAAGAUAUUGUGUACUCAUAUGAGGGUGCGUUAUAUAUGUAUUGAUUCUUCUUCUUCUUAUAAAUAAAUUUUAAAGUUGUGAGUGCCUAUGAGACCCAAAGCGGAUUAGUACAAAUAUUUAUAUAGACUUACAUUUAAAUCUAAUAAAAUAUUAUUUGUUAUAUUAAAAUAAAUUGUUGUUUUUUUAAAUGAAUUGGAAAUAUUUUGAAGUGUUUGUUUAUAAAGAAUUUUAAUAAAUAAUUGAAGAUAUGAAGAUUGAUUGUAGGGGACUCCUGACAUGUGUUCAACAUUUCAAAUAUUGGCGAGUACCUAAGAUAUUUAUUUGAUAUUAUUCCAAAGGAGACUUUAGCUAAUAUGCUUUAAUUUUCUUAAUAGUUUUGGUCCCACCCUCUAUUUGUUUGUUCCCUAGAGCUUCAUAUAUAUAUAUUAGACUAGUCAAAAUUUGAAAGGUAAUAUAAUUUGACAUGAUUUGUCUUCAGACUUGGACGCUACAUUCCCCCUGUACAAAAGUUUGACUGUUAAUUCGGUUUUUUUCUAUAGUCAGAUUAAGCUGGCAGCAGCCGGCACGAUUGUCACAGGAAGCGCAAGGGAAUUUACCAUCUCAUAGAUUAAUCAAUUAGCUUUCCUUGCUAUGCAAGUAAAUCAACCCUACUUCCAUUUCAUAUCUGCAUUAUAAAUAGAGAAGCAUAUGUUAGUCUAAUAUUUCAUCAAAUGUCACACACUUCCUCUCAUUUCUAGUUUUCUCAGGAAAAUUAAGACGGGUUAAAAAUGGUCUUCUCAGCCAUAUUAAGUUGCUUUGUGCCAUCAUCUUCCUCGUCCCGAGUCUUCAAUGAUGCUGGUGGGUCUAGUGUGAAGGAACCUAAGAGCAAGUCAUCGAAAUCUUCAUCAAGAGCUCCGAUCCCGGUCUCUUACUUCCCUGUUAACUCAUACCUCUCUCGCUUGUAGUGAUUAAUUUCAUGGCAAGGUGGAGUUAGAAUUUGAAGAAUAUCAAUCGAUUAUUCAUUCAGUCUAGGUAUCAUAUGAUGGGGUUCUUCAUCAUGCAGUUGCUUGAGGAGCGAUGAUGGAGUUUGUUUUAAUGUACAGUUUGAUGAUUAAUUUGCAAUAAUUUGAUUGAAGAAUAUUGUAUUAGCUAGAUCUUCAUCUUGUUAAUUUCCUCCAACUGCAUGCAAUGAAACAGGUGUUUGAUGAUACCAUGGAAUUACCUGCAAAUAAAUAAGACAUCAAAACCAAUCUGAAAAUUCAGAAACAGCAAAAAAUUAAGUUCAGUUGGCCGGGGAUUCCAUUGGAAAUUAAGAAUCGGUACUUGAAAUGGAAAUUAGUGAUUACCAUAUGGAUAACAGCUAAUAAAACCCCAGAAUCAAUUAGGGUUUAUCAUCAUAUAUUAAGCAAAAACUACGUGCAUUAUACAGAUGAUGAUUGGUAAAGGAAGAAGUCUUAAAAAUGCAUGCCAAUGGAAAAAUUAGGGUGAAAUUUGAUCAACAGAGUGAUGAUUAGGUAUGCAUGAUGGGAUUUUCCCAAUCCGUCCAUGAUGAUAAAAGCCUAUUAUUCUUGUAAACAUGUACUAAAAGAAAAAGGAAAAAUUAAGCCCUCCUACUUUUCCUUUUCACCCCCCAAAAAGUCUCCACUAUGCACCUCAAAUCAAACCUAAAAAUCUCUAUCACUCUCUUUGUGUCCAUUGGUUAAGAAGUACUAAUUUCAAUAUUGUGAUAUCUCACAAGUAUAGAAAAAAAGUUUUUAACACUAUAUAUACACGAACUCCUUUUAAUCUAAUAAAGUCAUGAGUAUCUGUCAUACUAAGAACAAACAAUAUCUAUGUGAGAGAAAAAAAGUUGUUAUAAAUAGUAUUAGAGUUUAUCUUUGAUUUCGUUGUAGAAGUUUGUUUGACCCCACGAGGGGUAUCUGUUUCUUUAAUCCCACAAUCCUACUGAACAUAGUUAAGACGUUGUAUUCGUAUGAGAGUCUAUUCAUGUAUUAAUUCCUCUUAACCUAAUACACUACUUAUAAAGUUGUGAGUACGUAUUAAACUUAGAAUAUGUACUCAUAGUAGGUCAUUACAAAUAUUUAUGCGGACUUACAUUUAAAUCCAAUAAAAUAGUGUUACACAAAUAUUAUAUAAGUAUGAAACACACUCUCAUUUGAGUAUAUAUAUAUAUAUAUAUAUAUAUAUGUACACUACCGAAUAAUGGUUCCUUAAUUUGAUUAUAUGUCUAAACUAGACAAUUGAUAAAAAAAAUACUUUGAAAUGAAAUUGAUGUAAAAGAAAAUAAUGAGUUAUAUAAAGAGUAAUUAAUGCGACCUUUGGCCUUAUAAUUAAGUAUGGUUAAAUUACAUUUUUUAAUUCUCUUAGUAUGUGAGACCCAAAUUAUUGAAUAUUUUUUUAGGUUGUUAUUCAAUUGAUGAGAAUGACAAAUUUAUGGCUACCAACAAUGAUGUUUAUUAUUUAAAGCUACUCAUUUUGAAGAAGUCGCAUACCAAUCCUUAAACUAAAUCAAUUAGGUCUUAACUACUUUUUUAUUUAAUUUUUUUUUUGUAAUGAGUUGGUCAACACUGAAGCCUUAAUUUUAUGUUUGAAAACUUUAUUUUAAAUACACUUCUAUUAAAAAUAAGAAUAAUGUUAGUAUAUUUAAUAGUUAUUACUACUUUGGUCCCACUCUGGAUGUGUUCGUUCUCUGAAGCUUCCCAUUUUCUCUCGAAGGUAAUUUUUGUCUAAUGUCUCUCUAAGUUUUGAAAAGUUUUCUCAAAGACUUGGCCACCACAUCCCCCCUGGACAAAAGUUUAAUUUGGUCAAAUUAAGCAGCCAGAAUUUUCUCCAGAAGCUCAAGGGAACCAUCUCACAUAUUAUUUGGAUUUCCUUUCUAUGCAAGCAAAUCAGCACUAUAAAUAGCGAACAUCUUGGCAUAAUGUUUCAUCGGUCAUACUUCCUCUCAAUAUUUCUGGUUUUCUCAGACAAAUUAAGAAGGGUGAAGAAUGGGGUUCUCAGCUAUACUAAGUUGCUUUGUGCCAUCAUCUUCCUCAUCCCGAGUCUUCAAUGAUGCUGGUGGGUCUAGUGUGAAGGAACCUAAGAGCAAGUCAUCGAAAUCUUCAUCAAGAGCUCCUAUCCCUGUCUCUUACUUCCCCGUUAACUCCUACCUCUCUCGCUUGUAGUGAUUAAUUUCACUGCAAGAGUUAGAAUUUGAAGAGUAUGAAUGGAUCAUUGAUUCAGUCUAGGUAUCAUAUGAUGGGGUUCUUCAUCAUGCAGUCGCUCAAGGAGUGAUGAUGGAGCUGGUUUUCAUGUAUUGUUUGAUGAUUAAUUUGCAAUAAUUUGAUUCAAGAAUAUCGUAUUAGAUCUUCAUCUUGUUAAUUUCCUCCAACUGCAUGCAAUGAAACAGCUGUUCGAUGAUACCAUGGAAUUACCUGCAAACAAAUAAGACAUCAAUCCCAAUUCUGAAAAUUCAGAAACAAGAAGAAAUUAAGUUCAGUUGGGGUUUCCAUUGGAAAUUAAGAAUUGGUACUUGAAAUGGCAAUAAGUGAUAACCAUAUGCGUACAGCUAGUUAAACCCCAGAAUCAGUUAGGGUUUAUCAUCAUGUAUUAAGCAAAAACUACUAAUUACAUUAUACAGAUGAUGAUCUAAAAGGAAGAAGUCUUAAAAGCCUAUUAUUCUUGUUUCCACAUGCACUAAAGGAAAACGGAAAAAUAAAGCCACCUGCUUUGCCUUUUCAUUCUCCCAAAAGUCUCCAAUAUGCACCUCAAAUCAAACCUAUGAAUCUCUGUCACUC
rnacentral:lncRNA from 1 species